rnacentral:rRNA from 1 species
UACGUAGGGUGCGAGCGUUGUCCGGAAUUAUUGGGCGGAAAGGGCUCGUAGGCGGUCUGUCGCGUCGAAAGUGAAAACCCAGGGCUUAACCCUGGGCCUGCUUCCGAUACGGGCAGACUAGAGGUAUGCAGGGGAGAACGGAAUUCCUGGUGUAGCGGUGAAAUGCGCAGAUAUCAGGAGGAACACCAGUGGCGAAGGCGAGUCCCUGGACAACACCUGACACUGAGGCACGAAAGCUAGGGGAGCAAACAGG